rnacentral:rRNA from 1 species
GAUGAACGCUGGCGGCGUGCCUAAUACAUGCAAGUCGAGCGAACAGACGAGGAGCUUGCUCCUCUGACGUUAGCGGCGGACGGGUGAGUAACACGUGGAUAACCUACCUAUAAGACUGGGAUAACUUCGGGAAACCGGAGCUAAUAACGGAUAAUAUAUUGAACCGCAUGGUUCAAUAGUGAAAGACGGUUUUGCUGUCACUUAUAGAUGGAUCCGCGCCGCAUUAGCUAGUUGGUAAGGUAACGGCUUACCAAGGCGACGAUGCGUAGCCGACCUGAGAGGAUGAUCGGCCACACUGGAACUGAGACACGGUCCAGACUCCUACGGGAGGCAGCAGUAGGGAAUCUUCCGCAAUGGGCGAAAGCCUGACGGAGCAACGCCGCGUGAGUGAUGAAGGUCUUCGGAUCGUAAAACUCUGUUAUUAGGGAAGAACAAAUGUGUAAGUAACUAUGCACGUCUUGACGGUACCUAAUCAGAAAGCCACGGCUAACUACGUG